AUGCCUAGAAGAUUUGGUUUUCAUUCAUCAGAAACUGCUGAAGAUGUGAUGAUGUUAAGAUUUCUGAUAUUUCCUUUGUGGUUCCCAUCUUCUGCAAAACCAUGUAGACAGCCCUGGUCAACCAGCUACAUUAUUCAGAUGUACUGUGUUAUCCUUAACAUAGACCACAUGUAUUUUUCUUCCAGCUGCGAUCUGUUCGCCCUGUUCUUCAGAGAUAGAACUAGCAUGUUUCUUCUGUUUCCAAUGACAAAAAGUCUGAAUCGGCAAAAAAAAGAAAAUACCGCAGAUGGUACAAUUUUAACUAGGGAUUUUUUUGGCGGGAAACUAGGGAUUUUUUCAAAUUGCCGCAACGUUGAACCCGAUGCCACCAUAUACGGAUGA
rnacentral:rRNA from 1 species